CAUUUUGUGUUUUUGUUGGAUGAAUCUAGUCAUUGGGUGCUGUUGCUCGCAGGCUGCGGCCAUGGAAGAUCCCGGAGGAAGAUUGACACCAGCGGAUGCCGAUCUUGUACAGAGCGAUCGAGGAUCCCGUCCCACAGCGCUGACCUGACGGCCUACCCUGUGAGUAGCCUCGUUCACGCGGGCGUUACAGUUCGUCUCGCCCGUCUAUACCAUGGGAUCGGAGGCCAGGACGCCAAGUUUCCAAAUUUCCCGAAUUGGUUGCGGCGAGGGGCUGGUGGCUGGACUGUGCGCUCGGCACCGCGGAGCAUGGUGGCCGGAGCGUGCUAUAGGUGUUCCAGGUUUCUCGUCACUUCUUCAUAGACCUGGUAGACGCGAGCAGGAGGAGCAGGAGAUGUGGGUUUCGCAGUGGUGAUGGCUGCAGCCAUGGGACGUUAGGAUGAUCUCGGUGGGAGAUUGAGGCCAGCGCGGAUGCCGAUCUUCUCUGGAGCCCCAUGAGGUUUGCCUUAAACUGUUGGAUCUAGUGCACAUUCUAUGGUCAGAGCUGCCGGCUUUUAGCAGGUGGAACUGAAACUUGUACCCAAGUUUCCAUGUCCAUGACACAGCACCAUACCGUAGAAAACUUUUCUUUUUGUUAGCAAGAUAGGAGGAAUGUGAAGUCUUACUUGAAGCUUGGCGACAAGAGCUAACAUGGUCUGGAUAACUAAUAUCAUAAUAUAGUACAUGGAAUGAUUCUGCAAUAUUCUUGGUAGGUGGCAUAGGUACUAGCAAGACCAAGAUGAAGGCAGUUUCCAUUAGCAGAGAGACAAGCGUUGUCAUGUUCUCUUACAUAGGCACUCAACGAAGCUUAAUCUUAAUUAUCAACAUACGGGCAGUGUCGAUCGAUCAUGUGGGCCUAGCUUGUCAUGUCUUGUCUUCCACACUUCUACGUCGGUCCAUGGC